AACGUAGGUGGCGAGCGUUAUCCGGAUUUACUGGGCGUAAAGCGUGUGCAGGCGGCCUCACAAGUGGUGUAUGAAAUAUCCAGGCUCAACCUGGAGGGGUUAUGCCAGACUGUGAGGCUAGAGUGCGAGGGAGGGGCGUGGAAUUCCGGGUGUAGUGGUGAAAUGCGUAGAGAUCCGGAGGAACCCCAGAGGCGAAGGCGGCGCCCUGGCUCGCAACUGACGCUCAGACACGACAGCAUGGGGAGCGAACGGG
rnacentral:rRNA from 1 species